GUAGGUGAACCUGCGGAAGGAUCAUUACCUAGAGUUUGUAGACUUCGGUCUGCUACCUCUUACCCAUGUCUUUUGAGUACCUUCGUUUCCUCGGCGGGUCCGCCCGCCGAUUGGACAACAUUCAAACCCUUUGCAGUUGCAAUCAGCGUCUGAAAAAACAUAAUAGUUACAACUUUCAACAACGGAUCUCUUGGUUCUGGCAUCGAUGAAGAACGCAGCAUCUGACUGACUCGACAGCUGACAAUCUCGU
rnacentral:misc_RNA from 1 species